rnacentral:rRNA from 1 species
CCUACGGGACGCACCAGUGGGGAAUAUUGCACAAUGGGCGCAAGCCUGAUGCAGCCAUGCCGCGUGUAUGAAGAAGGCCUUAGGGUUGUAAAGUACUUUCAGUUGGGAGGAAGGCGUUGAUGCUAAUAUCAUCAACGAUUGACGUUACCAACAGAAGAAGCACCGGCUAACUCCGUGCCAGCAGCCGCGGUAAUACGGAGGGUGCAAGCGUUAAUCGGAAUUACUGGGCGUAAAGCGCACGCAGGCGGUUGAUUAAGUUAGAUGUGAAAUCCCCGGGCUUAACCUGGGAAUGGCAUCUAAGACUGGUCAGCUAGAGUCUUGUAGAGGGGGGUAGAAUUCCAUGUGUAGCGGUGAAAUGCGUAGAGAUGUGGAGGAACACCAGUGGCGAAGGCGGCUUACUGGUCUGCAACUGACGCUGAGGCGCGAAAGCGUGGGGAGCAAACAGGAUUAGAUACCCGCGUAGUC